UACGUAGGGUGCAAGCGUUGUCCGGAAUUAUUGGGCGUAAAGAGCUCGUAGGCGGUUUGUCGCGUCUGCUGUGAAAACCCGGAGCUCAACUCCGGACCUGCAUCCGAAACUGCCCGACUAGAGGUAGGUAGGGGAGAUCGGAAUUCCUGGUGUAGCGGUGAAAUGCGCAGAUAUCAGGAGGAACACCGGUGGCGAAGGCGGAUUC
rnacentral:rRNA from 1 species